GAUGAACGCUGGCGGCGUGCCUAAUACAUGCAAGUCGAGCGAACGGACGAGAAGCUUGCUUCUCUGAUGUUAGCGGCGGACGGGUGAGUAACACGUGGAUAACCUACCUAUAAGACUGGGAUAACUUCGGGAAACCGGAGCUAAUACCGGAUAAUAUUUUGAACCGCAUGGUUCAAAAGUGAAAGACGGUCUUGCUGUCACUUAUAGAUGGAUCCGCGCUGCAUUAGCUAGUUGGUAAGGUAACGGCUUACCAAGGCAACGAUGCAUAGCCGACCUGAGAGGGUGAUCGGCCACACUGGAACUGAGACACGGUCCAGACUCCUACGGGAGGCAGCAGUAGGGAAUCUUCCGCAAUGGGCGGAAGCCUGACGGAGCAACGCCGCGUGAGUGAUGGAGGUCUUCGGAUCGUAAAACUCUGUUAUUAGGGAAGAACAUAUGUGUAAGUAACUGUGCACAUCUUGACGGUACCUAAUCAGAAAGCCACGGCUAACUACGUG
rnacentral:rRNA from 1 species